CCAUAGCUCAGUGGGAGAGCAUUGGCCUUGCAAGCAGAAGAUUGCUGGUUCGAUCUCCUGCCUCUCCAGGAAGG